UACGUAGGUCCCGAGCGUUGUCCGGAUUUAUUGGGCGUAAAGCGAGCGCAGGUGGUUUAUUAAGUCUGGUGUAAAAGGCAGUGGCUCAACCAUUGUAUGCAUUGGAAACUGGUAGACUUGAGUGCAGGAGAGGAGAGUGGAAUUCCAUGUGUAGCGGUGAAAUGCGUAGAUAUAUGGAGGAACACCGGUGGCGAAAGCGGCUCUCUGGCCUGUAACUGACACUGUGGCUCGAAAGCGUGGGGAGCAAACAGG
rnacentral:rRNA from 1 species